UACGUAGGGGGCAAGCGUUGUCCGGAAUCAUUGGGCGUAAAGAGCGUGUAGGCGGCUCGAUAAGUCUGCUGUGAAAGUCCAGGGCUCAACCCUGGAAGGCCGGUGGAAACUGUCGGGCUAGAGUCCGGAAGAGGCGAGUGGAAUUCCCGGUGUAGCGGUGAAAUGCGCAGAUAUCGGGAGGAACACCAAUGGCGAAGGCAGCUCGCUGGGACGGUACUGACGCUGAGACGCGAAAGCUAGGGUAGCAAACGGGG
rnacentral:rRNA from 1 species